rnacentral:tRNA from 1 species
GCAUCGGUGGUUCAGUGGUAGAAUGCUCGCCUGCCACGCCGGUUCGAUUCCCGACCGAUGCA